GUUGUAUGGUUAAGCGACCAAGCGUAUACGGUGGAUGCCUUGGCAGUCAGAGGCGAUGAAGGACGUAGUAACUUGCGAAAAGCGUUGGUGAGCUAGUAACAAGCAUUUGAGCCAGCGAUGUCCGAAUGGGGAAACCCGGCAGCAUAAGCUGUCAUCAAUACGUGAAUACAUAGCGUAUUGAGGCGAACGAGGGGAACUGAAACAUCUAAGUACCCUCAGGAAAAGAAAUCAACCGAGAUUCCCCAAGUAGCGGCGAGCGAACGGGGAUUAGCCCUUAAGUCUUUGGGGUGUUAGUGGAAUGUGUUGGAAAGCACAGCGGCACAGGGUGAUAGCCCCGUACACGUAAACUAACCAGAGAUGAAAUCGAGUAAGGCGGCACACGUGACAUGUUGUCUGAAUAUGGGGGGACCAUCCUCCAAGGCUAAAUACUCCUGACUGACCGAUAGUGAACCAGUACCGUGAGGGAAAGGCGAAAAGAACCCCUGUGAGGGGAGUGAAAUAGAACCUGAAACCGUAUACGUACAAGCAGUGGAAGCGGUCCUUGAGACCGUGACUGCGUACCUUUUGUAUAAUGGGUCAGCGACUUACAUUUAGUAGCGAGGUUAAGCGAAUAGCGGAGCCGUAGGGAAACCGAGUGUUAACUGCGCGUUUAGUUGCUAGGUGUAGACCCGAAACCCGGUGAUCUAGCCAUGGGCAGGUUGAAGGUUGAGUAACAUCAACUGGAGGACCGAACCGACUAAUGUUGAAAAAUUAGCGGAUGACUUGUGGCUGGGGGUGAAAGGCCAAUCAAACCGGGAGAUAUCUGGUUCUCCUCGAAAGCUAUUUAGGUAGCGCCUCGGACGAACACCUUUGGGGGUAGAGCACUGUUAAGGCUAGGGGGUCAUCCCGACUUACCAACCCUUUGCAAACUCCGAAUACCAAAGAGUGCUAUCCGGGAGACAGACGGCGGGUGCUAACGUCCGUCGUCAAAAGGGAAACAACCCAGACCGUCAGCUAAGGUCCCAAAGUAAUUGCUAAGUGGGAAACGAUGUGGGAAGGCUUAGACAGCUAGGAUGUUGGCUUAGAAGCAGCCAUCAUUUAAAGAAAGCGUAAUAGCUCACUAGUCGAGUCGGCCUGCGCGGAAGAUGUAACGGGGCUAAGCAAUUCACCGAAGCUACGGGUACUGAUGCUUGCAUCAGUGCGGUAGAGGAGCGUUCUGUAAGCCGUUGAAGGCGAAGGGGUAACCCACGCUGGAGGUAUCAGAAGUGCGAAUGCUGACAUGAGUAACGAUAAAGGGGGUGAAAAACCCCCUCGCCGAAAGACCAAGGGUUCCUGUCCAACGUUAAUCGGGGCAGGGUGAGUCGACCCCUAAGGCGAGGCUGAAAGGCGUAGUCGAUGGGAAACGGGUUAAUAUUCCCGUACUUCUGCUAACUGCGAUGGAGAGACGGAGAAGGCUAGGCCAGCGCGGCGUUGGUUGUCCGCGUUUAAGGUAGUAGGUGGUGUGCUUAGGCAAAUCCGGGCACACAUACACUGAGAGCUGAUGACGAGUCCCUACGGGGAUGAAGUGGUUGAUGCCAUGCUUCCAGGAAAAUCUUCUAAGCUUCAGGUUAGUAGAAAUCGUACCCCAAACCGACACAGGUGGUCGGGUAGAGAAUACCAAGGCGCUUGAGAGAACUCGGCUGAAGGAACUAGGCAAAAUGGUACCGUAACUUCGGGAGAAGGUACGCUGCCGGCGGUGAAGACCUCGCGUCGUAAGCUGCUGGCAGUCGCAGAUACCAGGUGGCUGCAACUGUUUAUCAAAAACACAGCACUGUGCAAAAUCGCAAGAUGACGUAUACGGUGUGACGCCUGCCCGGUGCCGGAAGGUUAAUUGAUUGGGUUAUCUUCGGAGAAGCUCAUGAUCGAAGCCCCGGUAAACGGCGGCCGUAACUAUAACGGUCCUAAGGUAGCGAAAUUCCUUGUCGGGUAAGUUCCGACCUGCACGAAUGGCGUAAUGAUGGCCACGCUGUCUCCAGCCGAGACUCAGUGAAGUUGAAAUUGCGGUGAAGAUGCCGUAUACCCGCGGCUAGACGGAAAGACCCCGUGAACCUUUACUAUAGCUUGGCACUGAACAUUGACCCUACAUGUGUAGGAUAGGUGGGAGACUAUGAAGAUGAGACGCCAGUCUUGUUGGAGUCAACCUUGAAAUACCACCCUUGUAGUGUUGAUGUUCUAACCUUGGUCCCUUAUCGGGAUUAGGGACAGUGCCUGGUGGGUAGUUUGACUGGGGCGGUCUCCUCCCAAAGAGUAACGGAGGAGCACGAAGGUUGGCUAAGUACGGUCGGACAUCGUACGGUUAGUGCAAUGGCAUAAGCCAGCUUAACUGCGAGACAGACACGUCGAGCAGAUGCGAAAGCAGGUCAUAGUGAUCCGGUGGUUCUGAAUGGAAGGGCCAUCGCUCAACGGAUAAAAGGUACUCCGGGGAUAACAGGCUGAUACCGCCCAAGAGUUCAUAUCGACGGCGGUGUUUGGCACCUCGAUGUCGGCUCAUCACAUCCUGGGGCUGAAGUCGGUCCCAAGGGUAUGGCUGUUCGCCAUUUAAAGUGGUACGCGAGCUGGGUUCAGAACGUCGUGAGACAGUUCGGUCCCUAUCUGCCGUGGGCGUUGGAUGAUUGAGGGGAGCUGCUCCUAGUACGAGAGGACCGGAGUGGACGAACCGCUGGUGUUCGGGUUGUCAUGCCAAUGGCAUUGCCCGGUAGCUACGUUCGGAAUCGAUAACCGCUGAAAGCAUCUAAGCGGGAAGCGAGCCCCAAGAUGAGUCAUCCCUAGGUCCUAGAGACCUCUGAAGAGCCGUUCGAGACCAGGACGUUGAUAGGCAGGGUGUGUAAGCGUUGCGAGGCGUUGAGCUAACCUGUACUAAUGACUCGAGAGGCUUAACCAUACAACCCAGAUGGGUUUU
rnacentral:rRNA from 1 species